CGCCUGUUUAACAAAAACAUGUCUUUAUGAUUAUAUUAUAAAGUCUGACCUGCCCACUGAUAAUUGUAUUAAAGGGCCGCGGUAUUUUGACCGUGCAAAGGUAGCAUAAUCAUUAGUUUUUUAAUUGGAAACUUGUAUGAAUGGUUGGACAAGGUGUUAACUGUCUCAUAUUAAAAACUUGAACUUAACAUUUAAGUGAAAAGGCUUAAAUGUUUUUGGAGGACGAGAAGACCCUAUAGAUCUUUAUAUUUAAUUUUUUGUAUAUUGAUUGGUUAGAUUGAUUUUUAUUUAUUUAUUGAUAUUUAGUUGGGGUGACUGGAAGAUAAAAUUAACUCUUCUUUAUUUAUUACAAUAAUUAUUGGAUUAUUGAUCCUUUAUUAUGGAUUAAAAGAAUAAGUUACCUUAGGGAUAACAGCGUUAUCCUUUUUGAGAGUUGAUAUCUACAAAAGGGAUUGCGACCUCGAUGUUGGAUUAAA
rnacentral:rRNA from 1 species